ensembl:lncRNA
CCUGCUUGAGACUCUAAGGUACCCCUAAGGUUCCACUGAGCUCCUGAUCACGAGCACUAAUGAACAGAGAAAGCUGCACUGCUUAACAUUCAGACAGGGCUGCGCUGAUAAGAACGGAUGAACGGAUGAAGGAGGGAAUGAAUGAAGGAGUGAAUGGAUGAAGGAGUGAAUGGAUGAAGGAGUGAAUGGAUGAAGGCUCCUCAUUCAUAACCUGUCAGCGGUGGCUGAUAAGUAUCUUCUGUGCUUCCUCCCAGAGCUAAUAAAACACGACUAAAUAAAGACGUCUCACGGUCGUCCCCGCAUGGCUUCGUUGUCAGGGAAAUGAGAUCUGGAACGACAUGAGCGCACGGGGGGGGGGGUGAGCUGGAGCUCCGGGUGGAGGAGGGGGGGGGCUGAGCUGGAGCUCCGGGUGGAGGAGGCGGGGCUUCGGCCCCGCGGUGAUGGGCGUCCUCCAGAGCAGGCGAGGCGAUCAGCCGCCCGUCAGUCCUCUCUACCUGGGGGAGGAGGAGCCCGUCCUCUCUACCUGGGGGAGGAGGAGCCCGUCGGUCCUCUCUACCUGGGGGAGGAGGAGCCCGUCGGUCCUCUCUACCUGGGGGAGGAGGAGCAGCCCAACGGGGACAGCGUCUCUGAGGCUGGGCCGAGGCCGCAGGCCACUCCCUCUCUGGGGGGAUCUGGGUCGGUUGGUUGGUUGGUUGGUUGGUUGGGUUGGUUGGUUGGGUUGGUUGGGUUGGUUGGGUUGGUUGGGUCGGUUGGUUGGUUGGGUGGGUUGGUUGGUUGGGUUGGUUGGUUGGGUUGGUUGGGUUGGUUGGUUGGGUUGGUUGGGUUGGUUGGUUGUUGGUAGGGUUGGUUGGGUUGGUUGGUUGGUUGUUGGUAGGGUUGGUUGGUUUGGUUGGUUGUUGGUAGGGUUGGUUGGUUUGGUUGGUUGUGUACGGUUUCAUUCUGCCUCUAUAAACAGCAGGGUUCUGGUGAACCCGUUCAUUAUCAUGCCCAUACGUGGCCUUUG